rnacentral:rRNA from 1 species
AUUGAACGCUGGCGGCAGGCCUAACACAUGCAAGUCGAACGAGUGGCGGACGGGUGAGUAAUGUCUGGGAAACUGCCUGAUGGAGGGGGUUAAUUACUGGAACCGGUUGCUAUUACCGAAUACCUUAGGAUGUGCCCAGAUGGGAUUUGCUAGUUGGUGGGGUAAAGGCUCACCUAGGCGACGAGCCCUAGCUGGUCUGAGAGGAUGACCAGCCACACUGGAACUGAGACACGGUCCAGACUCCUACGGGAGGCAGCAGUGGGGAAUAUUGCACAAUGGGCGCAAGCCUGAUGCAGCCAUGCCGCGUGUAUGAAGAAGGCCUUCGGGUUGUAAAGUACUUUCAGCGGGGAGGCGUUACCCGCAGAAGAAGCACCGGCUAACUCCGUGCCAGCCGCCGCGGUAAUAC